rnacentral:rRNA from 1 species
UACGAAGGGGGCGAGCGUUAUUCGGAAUUAUUGGGCGUAAAGGGCGCGUAGGUGGUUUGUUAAGUUGAUUGUUAAAUUUCAUGGCCUAACCGUGAGCAAGCAGUCAAAACUGAUAGACUAGAGGAUGGGAGAGAGAAGUGGAAUUCUCGGAGUAGCGGUAAAAUGCGUGGAUCUCGAGAGGAACACCAUUGGCGAAGGCAGCUUCUUGGUCCAUUACUGACACUAAAGCGCGAAGGCGUGGGGAGCAAACAGG